rnacentral:tRNA from 1 species
GGAGGAAUACCCAAGUCUGGCUGAAGGGACUGGUCUUGAAAACCAGCAGGCGAGUAAUCGCGCGGGGGUUCGAAUCCCUCUUCCUCCG